rnacentral:lncRNA from 1 species
CCAGAUCGGCCACUUCGCCAGCGUGCCGUAGCUGCAAACCGCAUUCGAAUUGGUGCUGUGCAGCGCCGUUUAGGUCGCCUCCGGCGAUCCCUCCGCCGCGGGCCUAGUCGCGGGCGACCACCCUCCGGUGGGGGUCGACGUGGCAAAGCUAACCUAGCAGCUCAGGACUUAAUCACUCGCUGACAAGUGGGCCCAAGGCCAAGUCAAAC